rnacentral:tmRNA from 1 species
GGGGCCGAUUAGGAUUCGACGCCGGUAACAAAACUUGAGGGGCAUGCCGAGUUGGUAACAGAACUCGUAAAUAAACUGUUGCAAACUUAUAGUUGCCAACGACGACAACUACGAAGGGUACGCGCUAGCCGCCUAACCUUCAUCUGGUAGCUUCGGCUCCAGCGGUCACUAG